rnacentral:lncRNA from 1 species
UAUCUCUCCCCGAUCCUUCUGCAUCCAAAAUAGUUGAGACCGAUGCAUCAGACAUUGGUUAUGGUGGCAUUUUUAAGCAGAAAAAAGAUGACAAGGAGCAAAUUGUUGCAUUUGCAUCAAAAUAUUGGAAUAAUUCCAAACAAAAUUAUCCUACAAUUUAAAAAGAAAUUUUAGCAAUUAUUUUGUACAUUUUUUUAUUUCAAGCUGAUUUAUUAAAUAAAUUUUUUUUGUUAAGAAUUGAUUGUAAAGCUGCGAAAUCCGUUUUACAAAAUGAUGUACAAAAUUUUGCUUCUAAACAUAUAUUUGAUAGAUGGCAAGCUAUUUUAUCUAUUUUUUAUUUUGAUAUAGAAUAUAUCAAAGGGAGCUUAAACUGUAUUCCAGAUUUUCUUAUCCGAGAAUUCUUGCAGGGGAGAUAAAAUGCCAAGAAAAAAGAAAGAAGAAAUUUCAGAUCCUCCAAUACCUGUUCUUCCUCCACUUGAGGUAAAUAUUACUGAAGCAGUACCUAAACAGUCUGCUACAGAUGUUGUUUUCAAACAACAUACCAUUUCAGUUGUCUCCAAGCAACUCUUAAAAGGCGCAGCUGGACCAAGCCAGCCCAAAUAUAGGAAGCCAUCAGACUAUGCCAUGAGCGGACUCCCCCAAAUUCAUAUGAUAGAAAGUUCAGGACCCAUUCCAAUUUUUCGUCCAAAAAGAUGGGCAGAAGAAGAAUAUCAACAAGCUUAAACUCAACUAGCACAGACCAUGACUUCUCCUUGGACAAAAGGAGAAUUCAUGCAAUGGUGCCAACUCAUGGGAAUUAAAGAUCAAAUGACCAUGCCUGGCCUAUUUAAAAAAUAACUGGGAGAUCAGUACUAAUUAUAUAAAAAUUAUAGUUCCAAGGUGGCAGCACAAAGCCACGCAUCUUCUUCCAACUCCGUGGCGGCCCAAAGUCACACGACCCCUUAAAUUCCUGUGGUUGCUAAAAGCACCACACAAAAGAUAUUGGAGGCUACAAGCUCCAUUGCAGGUACAGGAUGUCGAUCCAACAUCUCAAAAACCACAACUAAUCAGGCACUUUCUUCACCAGUGCCACAACCUAUUUCUUCAACAAAAGUUCCUCCUUCGAGGAACCUACUUAUAUUAAGAAUGAAAGUGUUUACCCACGCAUUCAGAUUGAACCAAAAUUCUGGCAUUCCAACCUCGAGGAGGUAGCUAAGAAAAUACUUAGCCCUUCAGCCAAUUUUGUUCAAAACAUCCAU